UACAGAGGGGGCAAGCGUUGUUCGGAAUUACUGGGCGUAAAGGGCGCGUAGGCGGCCCACUAAGUCGAACGUGAAAUCCCUGGGCUCAACCCAGGAACUGCGUCCGAUACUGGUGGGCUCGAAUCCGGGAGAGGGAUGUGGAAUUCCAGGUGUAGCGGUGAAAUGCGUAGAUAUCUGGAGGAACACCGGUGGCGAAGGCGGCUCACUGGAGCCGGUACUGACGCUGAGGCGCGAAAGCGUGGGGAGCAAACAGG
rnacentral:rRNA from 1 species